UACAGAGGGUGCAAGCGUUAUCCGGAAUGAUUGGGCGUAAAGCGUCUGUAGGUGGCUUUUUAAGUCCGCCGUCAAAUCCCAGGGCUCAACUCUGGACAGGCGGUGGAAACUACCAAGCUGGAGUACGGUAGGGGCAGAGGGAAUUUCCGGUGGAGCGGUGAAAUGCGUAGAGAUCGGGAAGAACACCAGCGGCGAAAGCGCUCUGCUGGGCCGACACUGACACUGAGAGACGAAAGCGAGGGGAGCGAAUGGG
rnacentral:rRNA from 1 species